rnacentral:ncRNA from 1 species
GGUGCGUGUCCUUAAUAGAAAAUGCAGUGUUUAUCCAACACAAGAAGCAUGAGGUUGAAAAGCGGACGCAAUUUCCGACACGCGCC